rnacentral:rRNA from 1 species
GGAUGUUAAGGUCUCGUUGGUGACCAGCGGAGGGAUCAUUACUGAGUUUACGCUCUACAACCCUUUGUGAACAUACCUAUAACUGUUGCUUCGGCGGGUAGGGUCUCCGUGACCCUCCCGGCCUCCCGCCCCCGGGCGGGUCGGCGCCCGCCGGAGGAUAACCAAACUCUGAUUUAACGACGUUUCUUCUGAGUGGUACAAGCAAAUAAUCAAAACUUUUAACAACGGAUCUCUUGGUUCUGGCAUCGAUGAAGAACGCAGCGAAAUGCGAUAAGUAAUGUGAAUUGCAGAAUUCAGUGAAUCAUCGAAUCUUUGAACGCACAUUGCGCCCGCCAGCAUUCUGGCGGGCAUGCCUGUUCGAGCGUCAUUUCAACCCUCAAGCUCUGCUUGGUGUUGGGGCCCUACAGCUGAUGUAGGCCCUCAAAGGUAGUGGCGGACCCUCCCGGAGCCUCCUUUGCGUAGUAACUUUACGUCUCGCACUGGGAUCCGGAGGGACUCUUGCCGUAAAACCCCCAAUUUUCCAAAGGUUGACCUCGGAUCAGGUAGGAAUACCCGCUGAACUUAAGCAUAUCAAUAAGCCGGAGGAA